ACGAACGCUGGCGGCAGGCCUAACACAUGCAAGUCGAGCGCUCCGCAAGGGGAGCGGCGCACGGGAUAGUAACGCGUGGGAAUCUACCUUUUGGUUCGGAAUAACACCGGGAAACUGGUGCUAAUACCGGAUAAGCCCUUCGGGGGAAAGAUUUAUUGCCAAAAGAUGAGCCCGCGUAGGAUUAGUUAGUUGGUGAGGUAAUGGCUCACCAAGACUUCGAUCCUUAGCUGGUUUGAGAGGAUGAUCAGCAUCACUGGGACUGAGACACGGCCCAGACUCCUACGGGAGGCAGCAGUGGGGAAUAUUGGACAAUGGGGGAAACCCUGAUCCAGCCAUGCCGCGUGAAUGAUGAAGGCCUUCGGGUUGUAAAGUUCUUUUGACGGGGAAGAUGAUGACGGUACCCGUAGAAUAGGCUCCGGCUAACUUCGU
rnacentral:rRNA from 1 species